rnacentral:rRNA from 1 species
UACGGAGGGGGCUAGCGUUGUUCGGAAUUACUGGGCGUAAAGCGCACGUAGGCGGACUCUUAAGUCGGUGGUGAAAUCCUGGAGCUCAACUCCAGAACUGCCUUCGAUACUGUAGAGCUUGAGACCGGAAGAGGUAAGUGGAACUGCGAGUGUAGAGGUGAAAUUCGUAGAUAUUCGCAAGAACACCAGUGGCGAAGGCGGCUUACUGGUCCGGUUCUGACGCUGAGGUGCGAAAGCGUGGGGAGCAAACAGG